CGGGUGAGUAACACGUGGAUAACCUACCUAUAAGACUGGGAUAACUUCGGGAAACCGGAGCUAAUACCGGAUAAUAUUUUGAACCGCAUGGUUCAAAAGUGAAAGACGGUCUUGCUGUCACUUAUAGAUGGAUCCGNGCUGCAUUAGCUAGUUGGUAAGGUAACGGCUUACCAAGGCAACGAUGCAUAGCCGCCUGAGAGGGUGAUCGGCCACACUGGAACUGAGACACGGUCCAGACUCCUACGGGAGGCAGCAGC
rnacentral:rRNA from 1 species